rnacentral:rRNA from 1 species
GGGCCCGCACAAGCAGUGGAGUAUGUGGUUUAAUUCGAAGCUACGCGAAGAAUCUUACCAGGGCUUGACAUCCCUAGAAUUUUUGGAAACAGAAAAGUGCCUUCGGGAGCUAGGUGACAGGUGGUGCAUGGUUGUCGUCAGCUCGUGUCGUGAGAUGUUGGGUUAAGUCCCGCAACGAGCGCAACCCUUGUUGUUAGUUGCUACCAUUUAGUUGAGCACUCUAGCGAAACUGCCGGUGACAAAUCGGAGGAAGGUGGGGACGAUGUCAAAUCAUCAUGCCCCUUAUGUCCUGGGCUACACACGUACUACAAUGGCCGACACAAAGGGACGCCAAGCCGCAAGGCGGAGCAAAUCUCAAAUUCGGUCUCAGUUCGGAUUGUAGGCUGAAACUCGCCUGCAUGAAGCUGGAAUUGCUAGUAAUCGCGAAUCAGAAUGUCG